CCUCUAGAUGGAAGCACUGUCUGUUGUCUAAGAAAAGAUCGUGCAUCCUUUUAGAGUGU
rnacentral:pre_miRNA from 1 species